UGGGGAAUCUUGCACAAUGGGGGAAACCCUGAUGCAGCGACGCCGCGUGAGCGAUGAAGCCCUUCGGGGUGUAAAGCUCUUUCGGCAGGGACGAUUAUGACGGUACCUGCAGAAGAAGCUGCGGCUAACUACGUGCCAGCAGCCGCGGUAAUACGUAGGCAGCAAGCGUUGUUCGGAAUUACUGGGCGUAAAGAGUGCGUAGGCGGCUGGCUAAGUUUGGUGUGAAAUCUCCCGGCUCAACUGGGAGGGUGCGCCGAAAACUGGCCGGCUAGAGUGUGGGAGAGGAAAGUGGAAUUCCUGGUGUAGCGGUGAAAUGCGUAGAUAUCAGGAGGAACACCGGUGGUGUAGACGGCUUUCUGGACCACUACUGACGCUGAGGCACGAAAGCGUGGGGAGCAAACAGG
rnacentral:rRNA from 1 species